UACAGAGGGGGCAAGCGUUAUUCGGAAUUAUUGGGCGUAAAGGGCGCGUAGGCGGCCUGGCAAGUGGAAGGUGAAAUCUCUCGGCUCAACCGGGAGAGGUUGUCCGAUACUGCUGGACUUGAGGGCAGUAGAGGGUGGUGGAAUUCCGGGUGUAGUGGUGAAAUGCGUAGAUAUCCGGAGGAACACCAGUGGCGAAAGCGGCCACCUGGACUGUACCUGACGCUGACACGCGAAAGCUAGGGGAGCGAACGGG
rnacentral:rRNA from 1 species